GAGGAGGAGGAGGAGGGGGGGGGGGUAGUUUGCCUGAGGCGCAGUCCGCUGAACACUCAGCGUGGUUUCGUUUGGGGAGCAGCAACAAGAGAAGACUUUCCGGGGGACGCACAGGAAUAUCUGAACCGCGCAGAAAAACAACCGACCUGUUUCACUUCACCGUCUUCUACAACAGCUCUAAAAAAAAAACAACAACAAAAACCAACCAACAAACAAACAAACAAAGACACCAGACGGAGAGAUCCUUCUUUUUUUUUUUUUAAUCGCAGAAGUCGCGGUGGAAGCUCGGGUCAGUGGGAAAGUGGCAGCGCACGGACUGCGGUCUCUCGGAGGGUGCUUCAUACAUUUGGGUCCCGAAGAAGAAGAAGAAAAAGAACAACAACAACAAGAAAACGCCAAAGAAGGAGAAGAGAAGCGAAGCGGGGCGAAGAGAAGAAGACAAGACAGUCCAAGUGAAAGCGAGAAGAGAGCCCGCCUCAGAAUGAAUAAUAGCAAAAGCGAGAAGGAGAUCGAGCAGAGUGAAUUCACCAACCACGAAGAGGAGGUCCGAACGCUAUUCGUCAGCGGGCUUCCACUGGACAUUAAGCCGCGGGAGCUCUAUCUCCUCUUCAGACCAUUUAAGGGCUACGAGGGCUCCUUGAUAAAACUCACCUCUAAACAGCCGGUGGGGUUUGUCAGCUUUGACAGUCGAUCAGAGGCGGAGGCUGCUAAGAAUGCCUUGAACGGGGUCCGGUUUGAUCCGGAGAUCCCUCAGACCCUUCGGCUGGAGUUCGCCAAAGCCAACACCAAGAUGGCCAAGAACAAGCUGGUUGGCACCCCCAACCCCCUCCCCUCCCAGCAGAGCCCCGGGCCGCAGUUCAUCAGCCGAGACCCAUAUUCGCUGGCUCCCACCUGCAGAUGGAACUCCUCAGGGAUGGAAGUCCAGGCAGUUCUGCUGAAGUAUGUGUUCCUGAUGUGUGAUGGUGGCCGUGGCCGGCUGUGACGGGCGUUGCCGAUCGCACUCUCGUAUCCAAUUAGAAACCACGGCGACUGACCCGACUCCAGCCGGCGGAGCAGCGUACCGUCGGCAGCAGCAGCCUCAGGACAUUCUAGACCCCAGCCUCCAUCACACAUCGAGCCCCCCCCCCCCCCUCCUCCCUCCUCCCCAAGUCCUCCCAACUCCUUUUUUUUAUACUGUUACAUACUCAAGAUUUUACCGGCAGCGCUUUGGCUUCGCCUCCUACGACACCUCCGUGAAAGGUGGCGGGUGCGUGCGCGACAAAGCCGCACGCCGCCUCGGUUAACCGCCCGUCUGGCGCCCGUCUGACGGGCCUCCCUUGCCGCGCGUUGUCCACGUGCAAAGCGUGAAAGGCGGCUAGCGGCGUACACGAGGCGGUGUUUUCCCCCGAAGCGCCGCCGGGUAAUGUUAUCAUACGACUAUAAUUAUUACUAUUCUGUAUAUCAUUCAUAUUAAUGUUAUUAUGACUAUUAGAUACAUGUUGAAGCAUGAGUUUGCAAAAAAAAAAGAAAAGUGAGAAAGUAAAAAAAAACAACGCUGUACAUUUCUAGAUAUUUUAAAGAAAUACAAAAAAGUAUUUUUGUAAUCGAGACUGUUUGAAAUGGUUCUGUUUGAUCGGUUCAUGUUGUGACGAAGCGUGUGAGGAACACUCUUUAUAAUUCUUUUUUUUUUUUUUUCACCCUUCCUGUUUUUUUUUCCCGCCAUUAUAAAGUCGCCUCUGCUGUACCAAAGCAGUUUUCUCUUCUCUGUUCUACAUACCGUGUGGUUUUAGGGUUUGCUCGUGUGUGUGUGUGUGUGUGUGUGUGUGUGUGCGUGUCUUUGCGUGGUGUCUUCACCUCACGAAGCAAACAUAUUAGUCCUUUGUCUAAAACGCUUUGAUUCAACCCGAGCAGUCAACGUUCACUCGGAGUGCGAGAAACACACCUGAUCCCUUUGCACAGGUAAUCCGAUGUGUUUGAGGUGGUGGGGGGGGGGGGGGGCACCGACGGGAACGAGCCAUUGCCGCGAAAAAGUCGAGUUACACCAGAGACGGGCAAAACGCCCCGCAAUACUGAGCCCUGCUACAAUAUGAGGAGUCUGCUCCUUUUGUUGUCUAGCAGGAGGACAGCGGCACCGUAUCGAGAAACAAAAGACCAAAAGGCAUCUUCUUUUACACUGGAGAGCUAUCUAGGCUGGUGGAAUUAUUCCGUUUUAUUUUUUUGUGGCUGCUUUGUAGUCCUCAGUCUGAUUUCUUAUGAAGUGUGACUUUAUUUUUGCUGCAUGUCUCUUUUGGUGUCACUCCAAAAGAGCCACUCUGCAUCUGAAAGGACAUUCACUUUAAGCAAUUUGUCUCUUUUGUCUAUUUUUAGGGGAGCCAACGAGAUUCAACUUGCUUUUGUAAAUUUACUGAUGAUUGGGAGUGAAGUAAAAAAAAAAAAAAAAAAAAACCUUUUGUAAUCGUGUGUAUUUUGGGCCUGCAAUAACGUCUUUGCUGUUUGACAUAUCAUCGAGUGAUCUUAUUCCUCUGACAUUUUGACGCCAAAAUCAUCAUUUUUGUACUUUUUCUGAUGAGGGCUGAAGUCACAUUUCAGUGACGUGACGAUCAAAAGAGGAAAAACUGCAAGAAAUACAAUCUUCCCCCGCAAUGUUUAGCCCAGGUGUGUACAAUGAUAUUGGAGUGGUUAAAUCAUACAGUCAGUGUUUGUAAUGAAAAAUAAUAAUAAUAAUUAAUAAUAAUAUGCACAUCAUGUCAACUGAUUUUCUGGAGCAGUUUUUGCUUUCCAGACAUUUUUUAAAGCCAAGUGUGGCACCAAAUUUAUUAGAACAAGUAUUUAUAAGAUGUGUGUGUGUGUGCGCGCGCGUGUGUGUGUUUCUAUGGGUGUCAUGUUUUUAAAGUUAGAAGAUGCCCACCAUAUAAUUCAUUGUAAGUAUUAUUGUACGUUUUAAUUGUAUAUUCAUUUGGUAAUUUUUCUAGAGCUUCUUCUUGUGUUUGUAUCUGAUAUAUGAAUGCUGUUUUACCCGCAUAAUUCACUGUGAAAUCUAGAGAGAAACCUCGAAACGAAUGGAUCAUUUUUUGUGUUUUGCCCGCAGUACGGUACAGAGGUUCCUGGAAAUGAAUAUGAUGAUCCCUCCCUUUGUGGACGCUUUCAGUAUACCAUGUGCGUAACUGUGUGUUCUGUGCAUGUUCACGGCAUGUGUGUGUUCUUCUUUUCUUUCCCUUAUCGCAUACAGUACUGUUGAUAUUUAUGUACUUUAUAGCCGCUGUAAGGAGGAACUGUAUUUCA